rnacentral:rRNA from 1 species
GACGAACGCUGGCGGCGUGCUUAACACAUGCAAGUCGAACGGAAAGGCCCUGCGUUUGUGGGGUGCUCGAUUGGCGAACGGGUGAGUAACACGUGAGUAACCUGCCCUUGACUUUGGGAUAACUUCAGGAAACUGGGGCUAAUACCGGAUAGGAUCUUCUGCUGCAUGGUGGGGGUUGGAAAGUUUCGGCGGUUGGGGAUGGACUCGCGGGUUAUCAGCUUGUUUGUGGGGUAGUGGCGUACCAAGGCUUUGACGGGUAGCCGGCCUGAGAGGGUGACCGGCCACAUUGGGACUACGAUACGGACCAGAAUCCUACGGGCGGCAGCAGUGGGGAAUAUUGCACAAUGGGCGGAAGCCUGAUGCAGCAACGCCGCGUGCGGGAUGCCGGCCUUCUGGUUGUAAACCGCUUUCGCCUGUGACGAAGCGUGAGUGACGGUAAUGGGUAAAGAAGCACCGGCUAACUACGUG